rnacentral:misc_RNA from 1 species
GAUGAAGAACGCAGCGAAAUGCGAUAACUAAUGUGAAUUGCAGAAUUCAGUGAAUCAUCGAGUCUUUGAACGCACAUUGCGCCCUCUGGUAUUCCGGAGGGCAUGCCUGUCCGAGCGUCAUUGCUGCCCUCCAGCCCGGCUGGUGUGUUGGGCCCCGUCCCCCUUCCCGGGGGGACGGGCCCGAAAGGCAGCGGCGGCACCGCGUCCGGUCCUCGAGCGUAUGGGGCUUUGUCACCCGCUCUUGUAGGCCCGGCCGGCGCCAGCCGACCCCCUCAAUCUAUUUUUCAGGUUGACCUCGGAUCAGGUAGGGAUACCCGCUGAACUUAAGCAUAUCAAUAAGCGGAGA